rnacentral:rRNA from 1 species
CUAAUACAUGCAAGGUCGAACGCUUCUUUCCUCCCGAGUGCUUGCACUCAAUUGGAAAGAGGAGUGGCGGACGGGUGAGUAACACGUGGGUAACCUACCCAUCAGAGGGGGAUAACACUUGGAAACAGGUGCUAAUACCGCAUAACAGUUUAUGUCGCAUGGCAUAAGAGUGAAAGGCGCUUUCGGGUGUCGCUGAUGGAUGGACCCGCGGUGCAUUAGCUAGUUGGUGAGGUAACGGCUCACCAAGGCCACGAUGCAUAGCCGACCUGAGAGGGUGAUCGGCCACACUGGGACUGAGACACGGCCCAGACUCCUACGGGAGGCAGCAGUAGGGAAUCUUCGGCAAUGGACGAAAGUCUGACCGAGCAACGCCGCGUGAGUGAAGAAGGUUUUCGGAUCGUAAAACUCUGUUGUUAGAGAAGAACAAGGACGUUAGUAACUGAACGUCCCCUGACGGUAUCUAACCAGAAAGCCACGGCUAACUACGUGCCAGCAGCCGCGGUAAUACGUAGGUGGCAAGCGUUGUCCGGAUUUAUUGGGCGUAAAGCGAGCGCAGGCGGUUUCUUAAGUCUGAUGUGAAAGCCCCCGGCUCAACCGGGGAGGGUCAUUGGAAACUGGGAGACUUGAGUGCAGAAGAGGAGAGUGGAAUUCCAUGUGUAGCGGUGAAAUGCGUAGAUAUAUGGAGGAACACCAGUGGCGAAGGCGGCUCUCUGG